rnacentral:misc_RNA from 1 species
GAUGAAGAACGUAGCGAAAUGCGAUAAGUAAUGUGAAUUGCAGAAUUCAGUGAAUCAUCGAAUCUUUGAACGCACAUUGCGCCCGCCAGUAUUCUGGCGGGCAUGCCUGUUCGAGCGUCAUUUCAACCAUCAAGCCACAGGCUUGUGUUGGGGACCUGCGGCUGCCGCAGGCCCUGAAAACCAGUGGCGGGCUCGCUGUCACACCGGGCGUAGUAGAUUUUAUCUCGCUCAGGGCGUGCUGCGGGUUCCGGCCGUUAAAAAGCCUUUUUUACCCAAGGUUGACCUCGGAUCAGGUAGGAAGACCCGCUGAACUUAAGCAUAUCAAUAAGCGGAGGA